GUUGUAUUGCUCAGGAGAGCGUGGUAACUGUUAAUUAUCAUAGUUAAGUUUGAAUCUUAAAUAUAGCG
rnacentral:tRNA from 1 species